rnacentral:rRNA from 1 species
CGCGCAGGCGGUUUUGUAAGUCAGAUGUGAAAGCCCGGGGCUCAACCCCGGAAGUGCAUUUGAUACUGCAAGACUUGAGUAUGGGAGGGGGAAGUGGAAUUCCUGGUGUAGAGGUGAAAUUCGUAGAUAUCAGGAGGAACACCAGUGGCGAAGGCGACUUCCUGGACCAAUACUGACGCUGAGGCGCGAAGGCGUGGGGAGCAAACA